GAAGCUGGCGGGUGCUAUAACGCAGUUUAACGGACAGAAGGGAGCUUGCUCCCGGAUGUUAGCGGCGGACGGGUGAGUAACACGUGGGUAACCUGCCUGUAAGACUGGGAUAACUCCGGGAAACCGGAGCUAAUACCGGAUAGUUCCUUGAACCGCAUGGUUCAAGGAUGAAAGACGGUUUCGGCUGUCACUUACAGAUGGACCCGCGGCGCAUUAGCUAGUUGGUGAGGUAACGGCUCACCAAGGCGACGAUGCGUAGCCGACCUGAGAGGGUGAUCGGCCACACUGGGACUGAGACACGGCCCAGACUCCUACGGGAGGCAGCAGUAGGGAAUCUUCCGCAAUGGACGAAAGUCUGACGGAGCAACGCCGCGUGAGUGAUGAAGGUUUUCGGAUCGUAAAGCUCUGUUGUUAGGGAAGAACAAGUGCAAGAGUAACUGCUUGCACCUUGACGGUACCUAACCAGAAAGCCACGGCUNAACUACGUGCCAGCAGCCGCGGUAAUACGUAGGUGGCAAGCGUUGUCCGGAAUUAUUGGGGCGUAAAGGGCUCGCAGGCGGUUCUUAAGUCUGAUGUGAAAGCCCCGGGCUCACCGGGGAGGUCUUGGNAACUGGGAAACUUGAUUGCCGA
rnacentral:rRNA from 1 species